rnacentral:rRNA from 1 species
AACGAACGCUGGCGGCGUGGCUAAGGCAUGCAAGUCGUACGGGAACAGAUUUGUAGCAAUACAGAACUGUUUUAGUGGCGGACGGGUGAGUAAUGCAUGGGUAACGUACCUUUAGCUCCGGGAUAGCGUCGAGCCCGCAAGGGUUCUUUGCGAAAGUGACGGUAAUCCCGGAUGACAUCGCGGGGUGGCAUCUUCCUGCGAUCAAAGGUGGGGACCGCAAGGCCUACUGGCAAUUGAGCGGCCCAUGUCCUAUCAGCUUGUUGGUGAGGUAACGGCUCACCAAGGCUUUGACGGGUAGCCGGCGUGAGAGCGCGACCGGCCACAUCGGGACUGAGACACUGCCCGGACACCUACGGGUGGCUGCAGCAACGAAUAUUCCGCAAUGGGCGCAAGCCUGACGGAGCGACGCCGCGUGAAGGAUGAAGUCCUUCGGGAUGUAAACUUCAAUAGUUUGUCAGAAAAUGCCCCGACCUAACACGUCGGGGAGUUGAUCAGCAAACGAAAGGGACGGCUAACUCCGUGCCAGCAGCCGCGGUAAGACGGAGGUCCCGAGCGUUGUUCGGAAUUAUUGCGCUUAAAGCGCGUGUAGGCGGAGCGGUCAGUACCUUGUGAAAUCCCCGGACUCAAUCCGGGAACUGCUUGGUAUACUGCCGUUCUCGAGGCAGGUAGGGGUCACUGGAACCUUAGGUGGAGCGGUGAAAUGCGUAGAUAUCUAAGGAAACGCCUGUGGCGAAAGCGGGUGACUGGGCCUGUCCUGACGCUGAGACGCGAAAGCGUAGGGAGCAAACGGGAUUAGAUACCCCGGUAGUCUACGCCGUAAACGAUGCGCACUAGGUUCGAAGGUCUCUGACGAUCCUCGAGCCGAAACAAAAGCGAUAAGUGCGCCGCCUGGGGAGUACGGCCGCAAGGCUAAAACUCAAAGGAAUUGACGGGGGCUCACACAAGCGGUGGAGCAUGUGGAUCAAUUCGAAGCAACGCGAAGAACCUUACCUGGGUUUGACAUGCACGGAUGCCGUCCAUGAAAGUGGAGCCGGCUGCCUUCGGGUGAAACGUGUACAGGUGCUGCAUGGCUGUCGUCAGCUCGUGCUGUGAAGUGUCGGGCUAAGUCCCUUAACGAGCGAAACCCUUAUCGCUAGUUGCCAGCGGGUCAUGCCGGGAACUCUAGUGAGACUGCCGGCGUCAAGCCGGAGGAAGGCGGGGACGACGUCAAGUCAUCAUGGCCUUUAUGCCCAGGGUGUCACACGUGCUACAAUGGGGUGAACAGAGCGACGCAAGACCGUAAGGUGGAGCAAAUCGCAGAAAACACCCCUCAGUUCGGAUUGAGGUCUGCAACCCGACCUCAUGAAGCUGGAAUCGCUAGUAAUCGCGUAUCAGCCAUGACGCGGUGAAUAUGUUCCUGAGCCUUGUACACACC